UGGCAGUUUUUGUGUUCAUGCUACAGUAUCCAUACCUGAAGUUAUACCGCAGCCUGCAAAAAAUAUAAAUCCAAACACCUCCUGUCUAAUGAUUUAAUAAUGAAACACUCAUUUUCUUAACAUACUAUGGAUAUCUUUGGCUCUAUAGUACUAGAUUACUACAUGCAUUUAAUGUUCUUUUUCUGUUGAUUGCCUUGCCAUCCUCCUCUCUAUUUGUUCUUCUGAUUAUUUUUACUUGACAACGCUUUCUUCUGUGGAUUGAGAAACACAGCCUAGCAGACUCUCUGUCUAUUGAAUACCUAUGAUAAAUAAGUCUCUUCACGUGCAUGACACUUUAUGUAUUUUAUUUUACAAUUCGGCACAACAUAUUAAUAAGAUUUAGUGGGCUCAUCUGAUAGAUCACUAGCCCAGUUACAAUUUGAUACAACAUGUUAGUUGACUCUCCAUGUUCCUCGGUAUUCGUAAGCAACAUGUUAUAUCCAUCAGUGCACAUCAUUGCAGAAAUAAGACAGUCUUUUAAUUAUACAAACUGCAAAGUGAUCAAUCUGUCAAAUGCUAAUCUCCAUCUUUUCCCUAUGCUCAAGCAAUUGAAAUGAUCUCAGUGGCACUUCUUUCAGCAACUGCAUUUGUUGUCGUCAUGCUGUCAGUUCUUGCUGAAGCUGCAUUUGUUGUCAUUUUGACUUCCAGGAAUCUGCUUUCCUGAUGGUAGUCCGUUAGUUUGCACAAGGGAGACGCCACCAAGGAAACAGGACAGGGAGAAGCUCUGACGAAUUUGAGAGUGGUGGGCCCUAAUGACAGCUGUUCAUAUACAGAUGAUUUUUCAAGAGGACGCCAAUUUUGUUCUUUUCAAAACCGAACAUCUCAUGAUCAACUUGGUAGUUGGUACCUUAUAUAGUUCUUAAAAAUAUAUUUGGAGAAUGUGUGGAUUGGAGAGAUUAUGGAUGAGGACUAGCUUGUGUAUGACCUUUCAUUUUUGGGUUAUGUUUAUUAGAAUAGAGUUGUUCCCACUGUCUAGUAUGUAGAUUUUUGUUAUCUGUCAGGACCCAGUCCUGCUACUGCUGAACUGAAGAAACAGACGCUCAAGGAGAAACAGAGAAGUUCAGAUAAGGGACGGCUGAGAUCGAAGCACGACAUGUAAGCCAAGAUGGGCGGCUCGGAUGGCGUUGCCGUACUUUACCGCCAACGUCAGUAACACUGUUACUUUAAACCAACUCCAGACAUUAUUGUAGCUUAGAACCCUAGAUACUGUACUGUAAGCCGGGUCUCCUCCCGUGCAGCUACCUGAUUACCAGCUACCUGAUUACCUUCCGCUUUCAUCGAUUAAUCCAAAUAUUCUCAGUCCCCUCCAUAGAUCGAGUGAUUCCUGUGAUUUAGUUCUCACAAAGGUAUCAGAAGCCAGUCGAUUUCUCGGCGACGGUGACAUUGCGGCGGUGAAUCGAGCAGUGGAGGACGAGGGGUUGGUCUCUCCUGUAACAUCCCUCCCUGUUUGCGGUGGCGGCGAACGUGGUGGUGGAGUUCAUUCGGGCAUAGGUCAGCGAGUCCUGGAAGGUUGCUUGGGGAUCUUCUCCUCGCGGUAAAAUUCCUGUCCCUGAAGGCGUAGGGCAGGAGCUAGGCGGGCAGGUUGUGAUUCCUGUAAAAUUCCUGGUCCUCCUACUCAUGCUCAAGGAGUUGGGUCCAGAUCGGAGUUAAUUGGGGCGAGAUCGAUAGCCCGUCUCUCGCACCGAUCCAAUCUGAAGAUGGCCGACACACGUGCCAAGGUUCAGAUCACUCUGAACUACGGGCUGAGCUCUCUGAUUUGAAGGAAUUACGCUCAGAAGUACAGCAAUUACGAUCUGAGGUGGUAACCAUGCCGAGAGUGGAACAGAAACUAGCCGAUCUGAAUUUUGAGCUUCAGAAAGACACUGAACCUCAUCCUGCAGAGUGUUUCACCAACUAAGUCAGAGUGUGUGACGCCAUCAGCAGCACCUAUCACUGGCCCAGGUAUUAACACACCCCAGCAUCUCAAACAUAUAGCUGCUGAUCAUAUGCCUGUAUACCAAGUGCUCCAGCUGUCACAAAGAAUUUGAGUGCAACAUUCGAUCUACAGUGUUCUGUUCCUAGCACACAAAUCCCAGGAGCCACAACCAGCUUGCCAACAGCAGACUUGUUUACUGACAGUACCCACACAACUACGCUCAGACAACCUGUACUACCUGAGCAUCCUCAAUUUCGAAUAGCUCCACAAGAAAUCAGCAAGAAUGAUAAGGCUCAAGCGAUGGGUUUUACAGGCAAUAGUGGGUACUAUGCUCCUCUGUCAGCCCCUGUCUAUGUUCCUCCACACACUUACAACAGAAUUACAGGACAGUUUAUCAACACUACUACUCCAACCAGUCUAAUGCAGCCACAAGUGUACCAAGCUGCUGGUCAGUUGUAUAAUGCACAAAGAAAUCAACAUGCAACUCAGCUAGGAGGACCUUCCUAUUUUGCUGAAGCUACUUUGAGAGGACCUAGACUGGAAAUUCCACUAUUCAGUGGAGGGGACCCCAUUGGCUGGCUAGUUAAUUGUGAGAAAUUCUUUGAUAUGUCAGGUACACCAUAUGAUCAAUGGGUGAACCUAGCAACUGGUCAUCUGCAAGGCAGGGCAGCAAAUUGGUUAAAGAAUAUUUGUGUUCCUUGGCAAAUGAUUACUUGGCAGCAGUUUUGUAAUUUAGUUGCAGACAGGUUCUCUGAAGCAAAUGUCCAUGAGGCUGUCGAGCCACUGAAAAAUAUUCAGCAAAAGGGCAGCAUAGCAGAUUACACUGACAGUUUUGAACAGUGUGUUGCACUAGUGAAGAGAGACCAUCCCUGUCCGCAGGAAAACUUUCUGCUCAGCUGUUAUAUUGGAGGCCUUAAAGCAGAUAUCAAACAUGAUGUGUGUGGUCACAAACCCAUUGGCAUGAUAGAGGCAUACUGGUACUCCAAGAUCUACGAAAAAGCAGCAGCUGCCAAAAGAACUACCUCUGGACAGUAUAAUCAGCCCUUCAAAAAUAAUUUUCCACUGGCUCCACUCCCACAGCAGGUACAACAGGAAAAACCUAACAAUCCUCUUCCAAAUGCCAAAGCUUGCUGGUACUGUAGAGAGCCUUGGUCUAGACAACAUAAAUGCAAAAUUAGCAAAACACUACACAUAUUGCAAGAAGUAGAAGAUGACACUGAAAUAGAACUUAGUACCGAGGACAUACAAUCUCCUGAGAAAGCCUUUCAUACUGCUCCUAACACACCUGAGCAGGACCAAACUAAGUAGGCCAUGUAUAUUUCUUACCAUGCAGCAGAGGGAACUACUGGUCCAACUACAUUUUCCUUGCUACUGAUGAUAGAUGGUAAACAAGCAGUUGCCCUAGUGGACAGUGGCUCCUCAGAUACUUUCAUGAGUAAAGAAUUUGCCAUAAAAAGCAAUUGUCAUCAGACAGUUAUGGCCCCAAAGAAAGUUACAGUAGCUGGGGGUGCCCACUUGAUAUCUGACAGCAUAGUUCCACACAGGAAUUUCUCUAUCCAGGGGAAAUCCUUCUCUAGCUCUUUCAAACUGCUUGACCUAGGCAGUUAUGACAUCAUAUUGGGAGCGGACUAGAUUUAUAGCUACAGCCCUAUGACCUAUCUGUCUUGAUCUAGUAGAAAGGAUUUUAAUUGUCACAAAGAAUGGUUCUCCAGUAACACUUUUUGAUCACACUCUUCCUAAAGAAAAGUGCAUUAUAUCUGCUCUCAAAUUGGACAAGAUGCUCCAGAAGGGCGUCAUGGGAUAUAUCCUGCGGACUGAAAUAGAAGACACUGAAUCAGCAAUGCACAGACCAGUUAUCCCUGCUGAACUUGCUCCUCUAUUGGAAAAAUAUAAGGAAGUUUUCACAGAAUUAACAGUACUACCUCCUCCUAGAGAGUGUGAUCACAAAAUUCCCUUGAAACCAGGGACACAACCUCCAACCUGAGACCAUGGAUGAGGACUAGCUUGUGUAUGACCUUUCAUUUUUGGGUUAUGUUUAUUAGAAUAGAGUUGUUCCCACUGUCCACUAUGUAGAUUUUUGUUAUCUGUGUUAGAAUAAGGAUGCAGUUGAAUUAGUUUGCAAUUUUUAUGUGUAACCAGAUAGAAUCUUUAUAUUCUGAUCGUUGGAAUCAUG
rnacentral:lncRNA from 1 species